AUUAAAAAUAUCUGCGUAUAAAUUAAAUUAAUCUUUGCGGCUUACUUCCGUUGCCUAGCGACAGGCGAACCGGCGAAUGACGAGCCAGAUGUUUGCGUCAUUCGUCAGACACACCGCCGAAGCGAGAGACCAGCCGCGCAUCUGAGCGUUGGACUGUUCGGGCACCCGUCACCCUGUUUUUCUAUUUUGGGAUUUAGCCUGGUUUGGUGGCCUCCCGGCAAAUUAUUGCGUUCAUUCGGAACUUCGACAUGGCAGCACUGCACUAUUGGACUACGGCAAGCUCACGUCGUCUGGUGGAUCUUCCUGCGGAAACUACUGCUGCUUACCUGGUGCCACAACGUUGGAUGAAUGCACAAAAAGCCCGCGACGAGCAUUUACAAAGAAUAAAAUAAACGUUAAUUUUUCCUCAUUUCACAA
rnacentral:lncRNA from 1 species